rnacentral:lncRNA from 1 species
AUAAAUAGAGAAUAUCAUAUGGCUUUUUCAAUAUCGCAUCCGUAUCAACCCGAGACACCAAUAUAAUCCCAAGAGCUUUGCUCGAGGGAUUAUAUUGGUUGAGGGUUGAUACGGUGUGUGAUAUUGAAAAAGCCAUAUCAUAUACACUUUAUUAUAUACAUAUAUCUCAAGUAGAUGUUUUUCAUGUGACAUGAAGUCAUACAGAUAAGGAGGA